rnacentral:tRNA from 1 species
CUUAUACUAGGUUAAAAAAACCGAUGGCCUGUGGAGCCGUAGAUUUAGUAGAUAAGUUAAGGU